UUUAAAUGAGAUAAAGCAUAUUGUAAAUUUCCUAAUAUAUUGAAAAACGUACAAGUAACAUUUCAAGAACAAAACAUGCAUAUUAGAAUUUGAAAUUUCUAGAAAACACUUAAUGUUUUCUGUAUUACUGAUUGCAGAGAUUAAUAAAAAAGAUUAGCUGUCAUCAAAAAAAGUUCCAUUAUCUAUUUAUUAAACAAACAACUCUAUAUCGUUUUGAAUUUCUUACGUCUUUUACGUAUGUAUUUCAAAAAUGAAUAUCGUUGCAUAUGCGAAUCAUAAUAUAUGUAUAAUCUGAAGCAAAUCUUUCAAAAAUUAAUGUCAUCAAAUAUUGUUCAUUAAAAAUUUAUAAACAAAUUUAAAAUACGUAAUUUUGUAGCAUAAUAUAGACAGCCCUGAUAGUGUAUCAUCUUAGCUUGGCAACUGAAUAUAUAUUCAACAGUCAUUUUAUAUGUACUUUCUCAGGCAUUGUUCUGAGUUUCAAUAGAUUUGACAUUAUGUACUACUUUUUAAAAAAUACUUUUUUACGUAACAGAUAUUAAUAAGCACUGGAUUUAUGUACCAAAUCUCUAUUAUGAAACAAUCCUAUGUUUGGCAACAAACAACACGUUGAUCUAUUACGCACGCGCAAUCGGCAGCUUGUUACAUUGACUUCUAGGAGUAUCCCUACCAUUGUAAACGAAAUGUUUCACAAAAUUCUGUAUAUCGCUGAUAUAUCUCAAGAGAAGUGAGGAAAAAGAGCAGUACAAAAAUGUUUGCAUGGGGCGUGGUAAAGCAGUUGAUAUUAAGUAUAUUUUGUAUGCUGCCUUGUAAGAGUCUGAUGACCUGAGCAGAACUCACUUGUCGAUUCGCAGUGUCGCAAAGAAUCUUCCCGCUUUGCUACGAUGAGGUGAAUAUGAACGCAAUAGCCGAGUUGUUCCGACAUCGUCCGAACCAACGAAAUUUCGUUUAUCGUUACUGUAAUACUGACGAACAUCGUCAGUACUAGCGUAUGCGGAACUGGUACUGGACGAAGCUGAGAGAAGCGAAGGCGAGGGCGAGGCUAACGAGAAUGCGACUGACAACCCAAGAGUCGAAGAUAAUGAAGAGAGAGAAAGGAAGACAAGCGUUGGAAGCAAUAAUGUCGAAGAAGGAGACGCGAGAGAAAGCAUCACGGAUAAAGGAACCAAACGAGAAGAGCUUAAAAGUAGCGCCGCUGGAAAGAAACGAAAAGUUUCGUUUGGCGAGAGUCCAACGUCAGAUAGCAGACUCGAGGAUGGAAGGAAGGAUGAGAAGGAAGAAGAUCACGAUGGCGAUGAUAAUGAGAACUGUAUAAGAAUCGAAAGAUUAUGGCUAAGGCAGUUUAUUUAUAGUUUGUGCGUUCAUUUCGUCGCAUAUAUAGCCUGUAUUCUGAUCGUGACUCUGACUCUUGUGAUUGGAUAUUUUCUAAACGCAUAGAUGUAAGCGAUUACGACAAGUAGCUAUUGUAGUUUAACAGGUAAUAAUAUUAAUGUUGUUGAUGUUGAACAUUUUUACCUUUGUAAAUGUAUCGUUAUUAGACAGCAAAUUUUUCUGCAAAUUCAUAUUUUCAUGAUUGCAAUUAAAAAGGUGAGGUUAUCUUAUUCCUUUGUAUACAGGAUGGUUGGUAACUGGUGGUACAAGCGGAAAUGGGGUGAUUCUACGCGAAAAAGGAAGUCGAAAAUAUAGAAUAAAAAUUUUUCGUUUGAGGUUUUGUUUUCGAGAAAAUCGACUUUGAAUUUUCGCUCGGUACGCGUGCGGUACGUUAUAACGAAUAAUCUCACUGUAGAUCAUUGUCUCCAUGGAAAAAUUAAAAAAAUAAAUUUUAUUCUAUAUUUUCGACUUCUUUUUUCGCGUAGAAUCACUCCCUUUCCGCUUGUACCACCAGUUACCAACCACCCUGUAUAUCAUCAUCGAGAAUUAACGAACAUUUUUCUGCAUCUAAUUGUAAGAAAGAAAAACCCGAAUCUUGGAAACAGCGCAACUGAAUGUUCUAUGGUCAUCAUAGAGCGGCGAAGAAUCUAAGUUAUACCGCCACGUUUGAUUAUGCUGGAAGCACGCGUCUGUCCGUGUUCCAUGCACGGACGUUCUCGUUCACGUAUUCGGUUGGUCCGUGGUCUCUAAACGACUUUAAGAACCGGUUCUCUCGACCUGAUCACUGCUAUCGAUUCGAAUGCCGAAUUGAAACUGGACAACGACUUGAUGUAUCGAUUCCGUUGCAUGUCCCAGUUCCAUCGAACCUGGCACGUUCAGAUAAGGACACUGGGAGUCAGCAGGGUAGCUCCUUCCCCUCUGUGACUUACUGACUUGAUUUAGACUUGAUGUAAACGAGCAAUACGAUGCUAUUGAGACUUUGCAAGAUCUGCAUUUUUGUUACUAGGUAGAACAAAUAUGUACUUUUAACUUUUAAUGGGAAAUAAAUAUUAACAGCAGCGUUAUGUAUGAUGACAUUUAAGAUGAAAGUGUAAGACUUGGAAGAUUUGUGUUUCUAAUGACAGAACUGUGGAUGGCUGUGCGCUUACGAUAAAUAAUUUGUGUAAAUAAUACAAUAUAUCGUUAUUAGCGUUUCUUAAUAUUUCUUAAUGUUUCUUAAUGUUUUUUAAUAAUUCAAAUUUACAUUGUGUUAAAUUUAUGAAAAGGUAGUAAUAUUUCUUCUAAUUAUUAUUAACGUAUCGUUUAUUCAUGUUUGUAUCCUUUGCUCAGAUUUAAAUAUUGUUACUAAAAAUAGACCAUAAUGCUACUUAUGAAUAGUAAUGUGAAUAAAGCUAUAAAUCUCUGGUUUAGUAUACAUAUUUAGUAUACGUAUGAUAUGAAUACGGCUUGUAAACGAAUUGUAGAAAAUAGAAUUUUAUCCUUGGAUUACAUCUUUAGAAAGACAUAUAUAUCCAUUGUAUUGGAAAUUCCCAUCUAUCACAGUGAAAUCAUAUAUAUUCAUAUCCAUUGCAUCAGUAGAUGCAUAAAAAUAUAAAAAUACCGAAUUGUGAAGCGUCACCGAUACGAAAUCUUAAUGACGUCGCCACAUUUUUGACCGAUCACGAGUAAACUCGUGUUUCUAUGCGCAAACGUUUGUCCAUUUCCCCAUAAUAUAACUGAUGGAACGUGUUAGUUUUUAUACGAAAUAGCCGGUCAACGUAGACAAAUUUACCAAAUGUCCAGCUGGACAAAUUGUAAAAUAAAAAUUAAAUAAUAAAAACAAAAAAAAACGUGGACCUGGCACCGAGUCAACGAUCGUGAUCAUGGCGCGUAUUCGGAUGGAAUCAAUGCACCUGGCUAAAGCAAUCGAACGAACAGACUCUUCAUAGUCUUCGUAGAUUCUUCAAUGCGACCUUGACACGUUUGCUACGGUCUACAGCGUGUUCCCUUUCGAAGCAUAACACUGUUAUUGACAGUGGUGGAACUUCAUUUCGAAACUGAGGCACAUUCAGAACCUCCGUUUUAUCGCAAAGUUGUUCUUACUGGAGCAAUGAAGAAAGGGUAUACUGACGUGAAAUAUAAAGGGUGGGACGAUAUCAUGGAACAAAAGUUCUAUUAAAAAUAAUUUUAAGAAAGAGAUAACAGAUUGCCAUUUGUUUUCAUAAUUUUAUGAAAUUUCUUAUAUAUUCGAAUAUAUUACUACGAUAUAUUAUUACGACGUGCCUUAGACUUCCUUGAUGCAGACUUUAUUGGACGAAUUGCUGGGAAGCACGGAAUAAAUCGAGUGGUAUGGAUUUUCAUGUCUGCACUAUUAUUAAGGAUGUUGUGUUUGCUUGAAAGCCGUGGGACGUGAGCGUAUUAAAAUUGUACAUCGUUGAAGCAUCUGAGAUACUUAGUUUCUUGUAACCAAGUAAGUUCAUUUGCUUAUGAUAGGAAAGAACGUUUAAAUAAUAAUUUAUUAAAUACAAACAAUUACAAAAUUAUAUCUCCAAAACUAUAAUAGACAGCGAUAAAUGUUUUUUUCAAUUCAUUUUAGAUAUUUGAAAAUUUUCAUAUCUUGUAACACGAGUAUAGCGGGAACAGGUCAGUGUAGAUUUUAUAGCGGAACAAUAAAUCCUUAUCCAGUAACUUUUUUUUAAUUACGUGGGUUAAAGUUAAAAUUAGCUGUUCGCGAGCUGUUUGAGUUUGCAACAAAAUUUCAUAUAUCAGAGCUGCAAUUGAGAGCGGAAUUAAAAAUAUCGUCUUUAGAAAGGGUAAUUUGAAAAUUUAAUCUGAGGGAAAGAGUCACUUAUCGAGUACAGUGCUGGAAGAAUUGAUUGAUAUGGAUAGUUCCCCUUCAAUCAAUGAAAUUGAUAAAAGGAUUCAAGUUUAAUGAAUGGUAAUUACUAGGCGUGUCAGUUAAAUAGCAUUCGUACGUCACAGACUUUUACUGAAGUUGAUUGCCAACGAAACAUCUGAACAUUUUUCUUCUAUGACAAGUUUCAAAAUUUAUAUUCAGAAACAUGGAACGUUUAAGU